rnacentral:ribozyme from 1 species
UCGAGUUGCUCUACUGGCCCAUCCUCGCCAAGAACAUCGCGCCCGCCAUCGCCCUGGAGAUCGGAGGCUUCCAGUGGGAGC